rnacentral:rRNA from 1 species
AGCGAACGCUGGCGGCAUGCCUAACACAUGCAAGUCGCACGGGGGGGCUUCGGCCUCCCAGUGGCGGACGGGUGAGGAACGCGUAGGGACCUGUCGAGGGGUGGGGGAUAACCGCGGGAAACUGCGGCUAAUACCGCAUGACGCCGCGGCGUGGCAGCCGGGGCCAAAGGCGAAAGCCGCCCGCCGAGGGGCCUGCGUCCGAUUAGCUGGUUGGCGGGGUAGCGGCCCACCAAGGCGUCGAUCGGUAGCUGGUCUGAGAGGGUGAUCAGCCACACCGGGACUGAGACACGGCCCGGACUCCUACGGGAGGCAGCAGUGGGGAAUAUUGGACAAUGGGCGCAAGCCUGAUCCAGCAAUGCCGCGUGGGUGAAGAAGGUCUUCGGAUUGUAAAGCCCUUUCGGCGGGGACGAUGGUGACGGUACCCGCAGAAGAAGCCCCGGCUAACUUCGUG